rnacentral:tRNA from 1 species
GCCCUCGUAGCUCAAUGGAUAGAGCAGCUCCGUCCUAAGGAGAAGAUCCAGGUUCGAUUCCUAGUGAGGGCACCU